rnacentral:rRNA from 1 species
CGGGUGCGUAACGCGUAUACAAUCUGCCUCUUACCGGGGGAUAGCCUUUGGAAACGAAGAAUAAUACCCCAUGGUAUCCAUUUAUCGCGUGGUAAUUGGAUUAAAGUUUCGGCGGUAAGAGAUGAGUAUGCGUUCUAUUAGCUAGAUGGUGUGGUAACGGCACACCAUGGCAACGAUAGAUAGGGGCCCUGAGAGGGGGAUCCCCCACACUGGUACUGAGACACGGACCAGACUCCUACGGGAGGCAGCAGUGAGGAAUAUUGGACAAUGGGCGAAAGCCUGAUCCAGCCAUGCCGCGUGCAGGAAGACUGCCCUAUGGGUUGUAAACUGCUUUUGUACGGGAAGAAACCCACCUACGUGUAGGUGGCUGACG